UUGAUCCUGGCUCAGAAUCAACGCUGGCGGCGUGCCUAACACAUGCAAGUCGAACGAGAAAGUGGUAGCAAUACCAUGAGUAAAGUGGCGCACGGGUGAUUAACACGUGACUAACCUACCCUGGAGUGGGGGAUAACUGAGGGAAACCUUAGCUAAUACCGCAUAAUACCUACGGGUCAAAGGAGCAAUUCGCUUUGGGUGGGGGUCGCGGCCGAUUAGUUAGUUGGCGGGGUAAUGGCCCACCAAGACUAUGAUCGGUAUCCGGCCUGAGAGGGCGCACGGACACACUGGAACUGAAAUACGGUCCAGACUCCUACGGGAGGCAGCAGUGGGGAAUUUUGCGCAAUGGUGGAAACCCUGACGCAGCAACGCCGCGUGGAGGAUGAAGUCCUUCGGGACUUAAACUCCUUUCGAUCGGGACGAUUAUGACGGUACCGGAAGAAGAAGCCUCGGCUAACUUCGUGCCAGCAGCCGCGGUAAUAAGU
rnacentral:rRNA from 1 species